rnacentral:rRNA from 1 species
GACAGAAGGGAGCUUGCUCCCGGAUGUUAGCGGCGGACGGGUGAGUAACACGUGGGUAACCUGCCUGUAAGACUGGGAUAACUCCGGGAAACCGGAGCUAAUACCGGAUAGUUCCUUGAACCGCAUGGUUCAAGGAUGAAAGACGGUUUCGGCUGUCACUUACAGAUGGACCCGCGGCGCAUUAGCUAGUUGGUGAGGUAACGGCUCACCAAGGCGACGAUGCGUAGCCGACCUGAGAGGGUGAUCGGCCACACUGGGACUGAGACACGGCCCAGACUCCUACGGGAGGCAGCAGUAGGGAAUCUUCCGCAAUGGACGAAAGUCUGACGGAGCAACGCCGCGUGAGUGAUGAAGGUUUUCGGAUCGUAAAGCUCUGUUGUUAGGGAAGAACAAGUGCAAGAGUAACUGCUUGCACCUUGACGGUACCUAACCAGAAAGCCACGGCUAACUACGUGCCAGCAGCCGCGGUAAUACGUAGGUGGCAAGCGUUGUCCGGAAUUAUUGGGCGUAAAGGGCUCGCAGGCGGUUUCUUAAGUCUGAUGUGAAAGCCCCCGGCUCAACCGGGGAGGGUCAUUGGAAACUGGGAAACUUGAGUGCAGAAGAGGAGAGUGGAAUUCCACGUGUAGCGGUGAAAUGCGUAGAGAUGUGGAGGAACACCAGUGGCGAAGGCGACUCUCUGGUCUGUAACUGACGCUGAGGAGCGAAAGCGUGGGGAGCGAACAGGAUUAGAUACCCUG